rnacentral:rRNA from 1 species
GUCCACACAGUAACGAUGAAUACUCGCUGUUGGCGAUAUACGGUCAGCGGCCAAGCGAAGCAUUAAGUAUUCCACCUGGGAGUACGCCGGCAACGGUGAACUCAAGGAAUUGACGGGCCCGCACAAGCGGAGGAACAUGUGGUUAAUUCGAUGAUACGCGAGGACCUUACCGGGCUUAAAUUGCAACUGACUGAACCGGAACGGUUCUUCUUCGGACAGUUGUGAAGGUGCUGCAUGGUUGUCGU